rnacentral:rRNA from 1 species
AGCGAACGCUGGCGGCAGGCCUAACACAUGCAAGUCGAACGAACCUUUCGGGGUUAGUGGCGGACGGGUGAGUAACACGUGGGAACGUGCCCUUAGGUUCGGAAUAACUCAGGGAAACUUGUGCUAAUACCGAAUGUGCCCUUCGGGGGAAAGAUUUAUCGCCUUUAGAUCGGCCCGCGUCUGAUUAGCUAGUUGGUUGAGGUAAUGGCUCACCAAGGCGACGAUCAGUAGCUGGUCUGAGAGGAUGAUCAGCCACAUUGGGACUGAGACACGGCCCAAACUCCUACGGGAGGCAGCAGUGGGGAAUCUUGCGCAAUGGGCGAAAGCCUGACGCAGCCAUGCCGCGUGAAUGAUGAAGGUCUUAGGAUUGUAAAAUUCUUUCACCGGGGAAGAUAAUGACGGUACCCGGAGAAGAAGCCCCGGCUAACUUCGUG